rnacentral:rRNA from 1 species
ACAGUGAAACUGCGAAUGGCUCAUUAAAUCAGUUAUCGUUUAUUUGAUAGUACNUUACUACUUGGAUAACCGUGGUAAUUCUAGAGCUAAUACAUGCUAAAAACCUCGACUUCGGAAGGGGUGUAUUUAUUAGAUAAAAAACCAAUGCCCUUCGGGGCUCCUUGGUGAUUCAUGAUAACUUAACGAAUCGCAUGGCCUUGUGCCGGCGAUGGUUCAUUCAAAUUUCUGCCCUAUCAACUUUCGAUGGUAGGAUAGUGGCCUACCAUGGUUUCAACGGGUAACGGGGAAUUAGGGUUCUAUUCCGGAGAGGGAGCCUGAGAAACGGCUACCACAUCCAAGGAAGGCAGCAGGCGCGCAAAUUACCCAAUCCCGACACGGGGAGGUAGUGACAAUAAAUACUGAUACAGGGCUCUUUUGGGUCUUGUAAUUGGAAUGAGUACAAUUUAAAUCCCUUAACGAGGAACAAUUGGAGGGCAAGUCUGGUGCCAGCAGCCGCGGUAAUUCCAGCUCCAAUAGCGUAUAUUAAAGUUGUUGCAGUUAAAAAGCUCGUAGUUGAACCUUGGGCCUGGCUGGCCGGUCCGCCUCACCGCGUGCACUGGUCCGGCCGGGCCUUUCCUCCUGGGGAGCCGCAUGCCCUUCACUGGGUGUGUCGGGGAACCAGGACUUUUACUUUGAAAAAAUUAGAGUGUUCAAAGCAGGCCUAUGCUCGAAUACAUUAGCAUGGAAUAAUAGAAUAGGACGUGUGGUUCUAUUUUGUUGGUUUCUAGGACCGCCGUAAUGAUUAAUAGGGAUAGUCGGGGGCAUCAGUAUUCAAUUGUCAGAGGUGAAAUUCUUGGAUUUAUUGAAGACUAACUACUGCGAAAGCAUUUGCCAAGGAUGUUUUCAUUAAUCAGUGAACGAAAGUUAGGGGAUCGAAGACGAUCAGAUACCG